GAAGCUGGUAUAUUAGGGACAGGCACCUCCUGCUUAGAAAUCAGUAUCUCUAACGCUGGGGCUAUGUUGCUGUUUUUUUAAACUAGCAGCCCCUUCUAUCCUAGGCUUCUGUGACCCAGGGCAGUCACUAAACAAACAGUAACUGGCAACUGUGAGGGUCAUUAGUGCUAACUCAAGCAACCUGUGCUGUUUGUAACUCCCUGACCUUGCGCCCAGGCAAGGCUUAGGAAGCUGUAUUUUACCAGUACAGCAGGAGUCUGACUGGGACAAGGGGAAGGUGAAAGGAUUAUGAGCAGUGCUUGAAUUAUGGGAAAAAGUGUUUGCGGGGGGGGGGGAGGCUGAAUGUCAAGUGUCUUGCUUUAAUUUAAACAGUAACCAGAAGAAAGAGGUCCAUGAGACAGAAGUGAGGUAGCCCUUAAAAGUAAUAAGGGGGCCUGGCCUCUGUAAGCACCCUCUCCCCACUGUAAUUUACACAGUGGUUAUGAAUUUAGUGAUUGUUAGCAGUAAUUCUUAGGCUGUGCUCACUGGCUUCAUCUUACUACUGGGAGCUUGGGAGAAAAGAGAUGCUAACCCGAAGGAAAAUAGAAGCAACUGAAUGCUACCCUGCUUAGCAGAAAAGAAAGAUCACAGCCCUGCAGACUUGACAAUUCCAUGGAGCCAGCAGCAGGGAGUGGGAGCAAAAGCUACAGUCCAGUACGCAACCAAGGCGUAGAGGAGACAAGUGCAAGCUGAGAGAAGUACAAGAACUCGAGGCAUGGAUGAGGGGGAUAUGUUUGAAAUCCUUUCCGUUUAAUAGUAGGUGAUGGUUUAAAAAAAAAGAAAAAAGAUUUUUAAAAACAAAGAAGAGAUGCUCUUUAACCUGCCGUGUCCCCAAGGAACGUUUGCUUAUGACAUAGGAACUUGUAUGGCAAGGUUCAGGAUGAGUUUUAUAGAAACACCGAGUUCCUUCAGUAGCAUAAAGGCCAGUGACCAUCCAGAUCAAUGGGAGCGGAGAGUGCUGAGCAACUUCGAAAAAUCAGGCUGCAAGAGCAAUUUUGAGAUUUGUGUGCCCCACCCUAUAAAAUUAAAUCUAGCUUAAAUAAGGGGAUAGUGUUGCUCUCAAUGGCACUUUCAUUCGCUUAGAAAAAGGAUUCAUUCUUCAGCUGCAGAAAUGGUAGAACGAAUUCAGAACUCUCCAUUACCGACUAUAGAGCGAGUGUGACCAUAUCCCACAAGGGAGAAGAAAUAGAACAAGAAUUCAGCAGCUCCUUUUGUUACGAGGUAUAUCUUUCUGGGCAAAGAUGACACCAGUACUUUUUGGUCUGCACUGACUGCCUAUCCAAUACCAGACAGGAGUGCCAACCCAAAAAGUGGGAGUCAAACCCCAAAAGUCACGAUUGAAUCUUUAAUAUCCUAUUUUGGUCUGAUUUUUUUUUUUAAAUCUCUUCUUGCCAACUCCCAAUAUGUGUCACAGUGAGCAGCUUUGAGACUAAGCUUGGGUAACAUUUUCAAAAGUGUCUAAGUCUUAUUUUCAGAGGCGAUUUAAGGACUUUAGAAAAUGUUACCCGGAGGUUCUUAAGUGCCUGUGGGUAAGUCCACACUGCAUUUUAAAACCAGCAGCAGAGAGUCUCAGAGCCUGGAUCUACAGACUCCAUUUCAUGCUAAGGCCCUAAAAACAGCUGUGUAAAUGAUGAAGCUCAGGCUCUGAAGCCAGGGGAGGCAGGCUGGAUUUGGCACUGUUCAGCUGAGUAAAAUGUUUACAACUCUCAAAGAGAGAGGACCUGAUUCUCCUUCCACUUACACCAGUGGGAAUCCGGAAUUCCACUAAAAAAAAGUCAGUGUGUUACCUAGAUGUAAAACUGAGAUCAGUCUUUAAAAAAAGAAAAGUUAACCCAUACAGCCUCUUACCAGUCAUGACUUGAAGACAUCAAAAGAUGGAAAAUCCACCACUUCCUUUGGUAGUUUGUUCCAAUAGUUAAAAAACCCAACAACCACCACCACCACCC